AUACGUAGGGGGCGAGCGUUGUCCGGAAUGAUUGGGCGUAAAGGGCGCGUAGGCGGCCCGGUAAGUCUGGAGUGAAAGUCCUGUUUUUAAGAUGGGAAUUGCUUUGGAUACUGUCGGGCUUGAGUGCAGGAGAGGUAAGUGGAAUUCCCAGUGUAGCGGUGAAAUGCGUAGAGAUUGGGAGGAACACCAGUGGCGAAGGCGACUUACUGGACUGUAACUGACGCUGAGGCGCGAAAGUGUGGGGAGCAGACAGGAUUAGAUACCCUGGUAGUCCACACUGUAAACGAUGAAUGCUAGGUGUAGGGGGUAUCGACCCCUUCUGUGCCGCAGUCAACACAAUAAGCAUUCCGCCUGGGGAGUACGGCCGCAAGGUUGAAACUUAAAGGAAUUGGCGGGG
rnacentral:rRNA from 1 species